UUUAGGGUUAGACAUGUCUUUCGUCUCAUCACUUACACGCCAUUCCUGUUCUUCUUUGAUGUCCGAUACAUGAAAAAUUGUAUUCUGCUUUCUCUCACACCGUCAAUGGCUUCUCGAGAGAUUGGACGACUGAAAUCGAGAUGAAAUUUUGUAUGUCUCCACUUGAGUCGUUUAGGCUUCUACUCUGCUCAACAGAAACCGUCCGAGUUACAGAUCCAGCGCCAUUAUUGCCUUCUUAACUACAUAUACCGAUUUGAACCACGAUCUGACAUUGAUUGUGAGUUAUCCCUCUACAAGGCGGUUUAUUCUACAUCUAUAAAAAGAUUCUGAGAAACCAGGAAUGUCAAGCGUGGUGAGGAACUGAUGUCUCUUGUAUGCUCUUUCUGGAUUCAAAGGUGACAAGAAGCCAACGAAGUGAGCAUGACGUAGCAAAGCGUCUGCAAAUGAUCCAAACUAAACAAAAAGGCCAAACAAGUGCCUUCUUAUUUUUCAUGUAAUGUUCCGUGAGACUUUCAAGAUGGAGCAUCCAAAGGAACAAAUAUACUGCUGUUUUGCAUGCUGGCUGUGAGUGGCUCCUUCUCACCGUGAAGGUUCUUUUGUAACUUAGCCUCUUGAUCUUAAAGGCACACUGACGUUGGAUUUGAUUCCAAAACCAGGUUAGAAUGUUUACUGGAGACAAUGGUAUACUUCCUCUCAACACAUACUCAUAAUUGUGUUAUUAUCUCAGUUGACAUGUUCCUAAACUAAGUGUAAUACUUGCAUUUCACAAUAAUUCAGAAGGCACCUUAUGUUGCUAAAAAUGAAAAGUGCAAGGUUGACUACGAGAAGAACAUGAAAAACUACAACAAUUAGGGAGGAAGGUCGGAAUGAAAUUAAGUUGUGGUGAAGUCUGACAGGACUGAUGAGCUUCUCAUGAGGCAGUUGCUCAGAUUCAAUGGCAUCGAGGCAGAGAGAGAAGCUAGAGUACAUCGAAAGGCAUGUGGUUCUGAAUUUUAGCAAUGGUGGUGGAUCAGUCGACGCCAUUAACAACAAACCCAGAUUGAAUUAUCUGAAGAAAGUGAGGAAAGAGGAGAAGAAGCUAGGGUUAAGAGAUCUCAAAAGACCCAAGCAUUUCAGACUAUUAGAGACAAGUUCAUGGAGCUUUGUUGUGUUACCGGAGAAUCAAGAAGUCAACAAGAUGAUGCUCUUUAUUGGUGUAAUGUAGGAUGCGUUCUUCCUAGCUAAGUCAAACCCCAAGAUGCUGUGAAAGAAAUUCUCAAGUUCAUGGAAACUAUUUGAUUGAGCCUGUUGAAAACCCUAAGAUGCUGUUGAAUAGAUAACUAUUUAGUAUGUAUCAGAGGGAGAAGAAGCCAAGGAUGGAACUUUCAGACAUGAAAAAACAUUGAUUACUAUGUACCCACAAAAGCUGCUAAAAAGUGUGUUGCAAAUUGGGAAGUGCAAAGUAAACUGGAAAACAAAUCA